rnacentral:rRNA from 1 species
AUUGAACGCUGGCGGCAUGCCUUACACAUGCAAGUCGAACGGCAGCACGGGUGCUUGCACCUGGUGGCGAGUGGCGAACGGGUGAGUAAUAUAUCGGAACGUACCUUAUUGUGGGGGAUAACGCAGCGAAAGCUGUGCUAAUACCGCAUAAUCCCUAAGGGGGAAAGCGGGGGACCGUAAGGCCUCGCGCAAUUAGAGCGGCCGAUACCUGAUUAGAUAGUUGGUGAGGUAAAGGCUCACCGAGGCAACGAUCAGUAGCUGGUCGGAGAGGACAGGCAGCCACGCUGGGACGGAGACACGGGCCAGACUCCUACGGGAGGCAGCAGUGGGGAAUUUUGGACAAUGGGGGUAACCCUGAUCCAGCAAUGCCGCGUGAGUGAAGAAGGCCUUCGGGUUGUAAAGCUCUUUUGUCAGGGAAGAAACAGCAGCUCUAACACAGUAUGCGAAUGACGGUACCUGAAGAAUAAGCACCGGCUAACUACGUGCCAGCCGCCGCCGUAA